rnacentral:tRNA from 1 species
GCAUCAGUGGCUCAGUGGUAGAAUGCUCGCCUGCCACGCGGGCGGCCCGGGUUCGAUACCCGGCCGAUGCA